rnacentral:tRNA from 1 species
GGGAUUAUAGCUCAGUGGUAGAGCACAUGCCUAGCAUGUGUGAGCCCUUGGGCUUACUCCCCACACUGGGGGCAAAAUUUUUGUUUUCAAAGCCCAGUAAUUCUG